UACAGAGGGGGCAAGCGUUAUUCGGAAUUAUUGGGCGUAAAGGGCGCGUAGGCGGCCUUCUAAGUCAGACGUGAAAUCCCCCGGCUUAACCUGGGAACUGCGUCUGAUACUGGGAGGCUAGAGUAUGGGAGAGGGAUGUAGAAUUCCAGGUGUAGCGGUGAAAUGCGUAGAUAUCUGGAGGAACACCGGUGGCGAAGGCGGCAUCCUGGACCAACACUGACGCUGAGGAGCGAAAGCCAGGGGAGCAAACGGG
rnacentral:rRNA from 1 species